rnacentral:rRNA from 1 species
UACGUAGGGCGCAAGCGUUAUCCGGAAUUAUUGGGCGUAAAGAGCUCGUAGGCGGUUUGUCGCGUCUGCCGUGAAAGUCCGGGGCUCAACCCCGGAUCUGCGGUGGGUACGGGCAGACUAGAGUGAUGUAGGGGAGACUGGAAUUCCUGGUGUAGCGGUGAAAUGCGUAGAUAUCGGGAGGAACACCAGUGGCGAAGGCGGGCAUCUGGGCCAACACUGACGCUGAGGCGCGAAAGCUAGGGGAGCAAACAGG